AGGGGUGUGGUGUCAAUUGGUAGCAUGCUCGGUUGUUACCCGAGUGGUCGGGGUUCGAAUCCCUGCGCCCCUGCCA
rnacentral:tRNA from 1 species